rnacentral:rRNA from 1 species
UACGGAGGGAGCUAGCGUUGUUCGGAAUUACUGGGCGUAAAGCGCGCGUAGGCGGCUUUGUAAGUUAGAGGUGAAAGCCCGGGGCUCAACCCCGGAACUGCCUUUAAGACUGCAUCGCUUGAAUCCGGGAGAGGUGAGUGGAAUUCCGAGUGUAGAGGUGAAAUUCGUAGAUAUUCGGAAGAACACCAGUGACGAAGGCGGCUCACUGGACCGGUAUUGACGCUGAGGUGCGAAAGCCAGGGGAGCAAACGGG